rnacentral:rRNA from 1 species
UACGAAGGGGGCUAGCGUUGCUCGGAAUGACUGGGCGUAAAGGGCGCGUAGGCGGUUUGUACAGUCAGGUGUGAAAUUCCCGGGCUCAACCUGGGGGCUGCACUUGAUACGUAUGGACUGGAGUGGGGAAGAGGGUCGUGGAAUUCCCAGUGUAGAGGUGAAAUUCGUAGAUAUCGGAAGGAACACCAGUGGCGAAAGCGGCUCCCUGGUCCAGCACCGACGUUCAGGCACGAAAGCGUGGGGAGCAAACAGG